rnacentral:rRNA from 1 species
AUUGAACGCUGGCGGCAGGCUUAACACAUGCAAGUCGAGCGGGCAUCCUCGUGGUGUCAGCGGCAGACGGGUAAGUAUCGCGUGGGAACGUGCCCUUCGGUUCGGAAUAACUCAGGGAAACUUGAGCUAAUACCGGAUACGCCCUUUUGGGGAAAGGUUUAUCUGCCGAAGGAUCGGCCCGCGUCUGAUUAGCUGGUUGGUGAGGUUACGGCUCACCAAGGCGACGAUCAGUAGCUGGUCUGAGAGGAUGAUCAGCCACACUGGGACUGAGACACGGCCCAGACUCCUACGGGAGGCAGCAGUGGGGAAUAUUGGACAAUGGGGGCAACCCUGAUCCAGCCAUGCCGCGUGAGUGAUGACGGCCUUAGGGUUGUAAAGCUCUUUUCUCCGGGACGAUAAUGACGGUACCGGAGGAAUAAGCCCCGGCUAACUUCGUGCCAGCCGCCGCCGUAA